UUAAAGGUAAUUGGACGGGCCCCGCACAAGCAGCGGAGCGUGUGGUUUAAUCGAUGUUACACGAAGAACCUUACCAGGGUUUUGACAUGCAAGUGGUAGGAAGCCGAAAGGUGACCGACCCUUCGGGGAGCUUGCACAGGUGCUGCAUGGCUGUCGUCAGCUCGUGUCGUGAGAUGUUGGGUUAAGUCCCGCAACGAGCGCAACCCUUACCCUUAGUUGUUUUCCCGAAAGGAUUACCCUCUAAGGGGACUGCCCCGGACAACGGGAGGAAGGUGGGGAUGACGUCAAGUCCGCAUGCUCCUUACGUCUAGGGCUACACACGUCCUACAAUGGGGUCGACAGUGGGAUGCAAAGCCGUGAGGUGGAGCCAAUCCCCAAACGGCCUCUCAGUUCGGAUAGUAGUCUGCAACUCGACUACUUGAAGUCGGAAUCGCUAGUAAUGGCGGAUCAGCAUGCCGCCGUGAAUACGUUCCCGGGUCUU
rnacentral:rRNA from 1 species